UACGUAGGGUGCGAGCGUUGUCCGGAAUUACUGGGCGUAAAGAGCUCGUAGGCGGUCUGUCACGUCGGAUGUGAAAGCCCGGGGCUUAACCCCCGGGUCUGCAUUCGAUACGGGCAGACUAGAGUGUGGUAGGGGGAGAUCGGAAUUCCUGGUGUAGCGGUGAAAUGCGCAGAUAUCAGGAGGAACACCGGUGGCGAAGGCGGUUAGCUGGGCAGUUGCUGACACUGAGGCGCGACAGCGUGGGGAGCAAACAGG
rnacentral:rRNA from 1 species